GGCAGUUCUCGGGUGAUGCACCCCAGAACGGGGCUCCCUCCUCUCUGGUUCCGGGUGCAUCACCUGAGAACAGCA
rfam:Myotis davidii contig160342, whole genome shotgun sequence.